CAGACCAUGGCCCAUUGCAGUGUGGAUCCUGAUGAGAAGUCUCUCACUAUCAAGUCCAAGAAGGCCUCUUACACAGGGUGGGCAGCUAACCCCUGUGUAUGGGUUCACAUAGCUCUGGUUGCUUUCAGGGGUCAGAAACUGUAGCCCUUUCAUAAGUUCAGGGUAUUCAAUCAACUCAUUCCUGGGAGACCCACUCAAGGACUACACUUUGAGGUCACCCAGGCCCCCAGCCAUGGGUUAUCUUUUGGGACAAAGAGAUUAAAAGACAAUUUAAUUAAUAUUCAGACAGAAUAAUCAGGGAAACUUUCCUGUUUACUACUUUAUUUCCAUAGCUGAAUGUGAAAUGGAGACAAAGUUAUGCAAAGUCAGGUUUGGGAUAUAUGUGAGCAUACUGGGAUUAAUAAGGAAGGGGAAAAAGUAACUCAGUGGGCAUCAGAAAAUGUCUGAGCUCUGACUUUGUUUCCUGACCUUGAAUGUCCCCUUAGGCCUUCAAGGUUAUGUGUUAUGUGGUGGAUGAGAUCUUCCUGUCCAGGCAAUCCCAGGAGCUGCUGACCUCUACUGAUUUUCUACAUAUUCCUAGCAUCACUGGUGUCAACAAUGAUGAGUAUGGCUGGAUCUUCCACAUGGCAAGGCCCAGUUCCAAGUCCUUAAAAUCCUGAAGAUCUCAUUGUGUGUGUGUGUGUGUGUGUGUUGUGUGUAUGUGUGUGUGUAAGUAUAGCUCAGGAUUUCAAGGCUUACUACCCCAAAUUUAAGACUUUCCUUCCACCUCCCAGCUCAUAGGUACUGAUGAUACCCAGAUGGAAACAGAGCUCAGAGUACUUCAACACUGAUGGUGAGGUUCCUGGGGUCCUGCCCCAAUGGGGAGAACACCUCUACAUUCCUGCUUAUGUAGGAACCCCAGGAACAAAGGCUAAACUAUGUACAUAUUUUUGGAUAAAGUCUUCCCAGAGUUUGGCCCUCUCCUCCAUUCUCAGUCCCAUGGCAAGCCCCAUCUCUGGACCCUGAGGCUGCUGACUCACUGUCCUUGAGCCUGCCUAACCUAACACUCCCUGAUCUCCUGCCAAAUGCAAUGACCUGUUGAUGGAGGAGACAAUGAAGACCUUCACACCCUCCAAGUCCAAUUACAGAAGAUAAUGGACUUCUUGUUCAUGAUCUCUGAACACCAAAUAGUACAUUAUCAUUGUGAGUAUAUCUGUACCUAAAUCCUGGCUGCCUAGGGGGCAGUUCAGAGCUGUGAGUCUCAUAAGAGUUCUGGUAUCCAGGUCCUGAAACAAGUCUUUAUCAGGUUCCUGGUCCCAAGCACCUGAUGAUCCUCAUCUCAAUAAAUCCUCAUGGCUAGUGUAAGAAGCAACCAUUUCCUUUACUUUACAGGUGAUAAAACUGAGUUAUUAACACUUAGUGACUUUCCCAAGACCACACAGCUAGAAGUCCAAGACCUGAUUUAACCAAGGUCCUUCCUGCUGCCUCUGCUCCAGCCUGGGACUCCCCAUUCCACUGUCCAGAUUCAAGCCAGCUUUGGACCUACGUAUCUUAUUGCCAAGGGUACGGCAGGAGAGGGGUACGGCAGGAGAGGGCCACCACAUGAGAUGAGGAGCCACCCACACAUAUCCUGUCAACCCCCCAGUUCCCAUCCUCUACUUCUUUGAGUUCCAGCAUUAGUUCAGUUUCUUCAAGGAUAUAAAGCCACCUCACACGAAGGCCAACCAUGGCAAAGAAAUUAUCGUUGUCUUUGGAUCCUACAUCAAGGGCAGCAGAGGUGUCUUCUUUAUUUCCUAGGAGCCAGGAUGGCAUUCUAGUGGGCAGGAGUAGCAAUUUAUCCCAUUGUACAGAUGAGGAAAUUGUGGCUUAGAGAGAGGAUGGGAUCUGGUGUCUACCAUCUUACAACUCUAAAGUUCAUAACAGAGUUAGAAUCUAAGCCCUUUACCACUUCAAUCUGUUUUCCUUCCAUUUGUUCCCACCCUAACCAUGGUGGUUAGAGUCAUAAUUGUUUCUUUUUUUUUCAAAAAAGGCAUAGUAAUGCUUUCUUAAAUGACUUCCCAGUUUUAGAAGGAAUAAGGAGGCUUCUGAGCCAAAGACAAAUUCAGGGUAGAUUCAGUUAGAAGCUGAGAUGAGUAAGGGCAGGUUGGGCAAGCAGAGGGCCUGGCUCCAGGACUGUUGGGGUAGGGAAGGGACACAGGCCUGGGGUCCAGGGACAGGCUACAGCUAGGGUGCUGAGUGUGGCACAGGAGUGGACAGCUGGAUGGGCUUCGCCAGACCUGGAUCCUUGAUUUCUUCUUCCCCAUAGUUGAGAGUUGAGCUCACUGAGGAGGAGGAGCUGCUGAGUAGGAGGAUGAUGAGGUACUGGGCCAAAAUUACUGGAAAUGAGUGAAAGAAUGCACCACCCAUCUUAGCCUCCUUCGAGACUUGUACUCAUCCAGCGUUCCCUUUGUUUGAGGUGACUUCAUUAACACACAUGUCCUUAAUCACAACGUAGCCCCCUCGCUUCAACCCAAAGACCCACUCUAACAGAGGGCAUCUUGUGUGUGCCAUUACCUGGUCCCUUUCCAAUGACCAGGAGGGUGGGCCCUAAUGCAGAGCUUCCAUCAGAAGCCCUGACAGGGAAGGACAAAACAGGCCAGGCUCUGUCCCAUGUGGAAAGUCUACAAGUAGAAAGUCAUUGCUCUCCUAAAUUAGGAAACCUAUCCUCAUUGCCCAUGCUUCCUGCCUGUCUGGAUGCCUGGCAUGACUAAAAUCAGGGGCUCAGGGCCCUGAAGGCCCACAGGUUGAAGUUCUGGACCAAGACUCUGCCCCAGAAGAUCCAGGAACUUAAGGGGGCUGACAACAAGCCCAGAGCUGUAGCUCCAUGUCAGGGAGGGCUGGGUGGGUGGAGUGCAGGUGAGGUCUGCCUGUGGUACCCACACACGCCCACCUAGGAGCCAGUGUUGACCCCCUCAUUUCAUGUAGCCAUUCAUUCAUCCAUUGAGCCAACACCUACAAAUAACUUACCUCACAAUGUUCAUUGCCCAGGCUGCUGUGGGUCCUCUCUCGUUAGACACACUCAGUCAAUCCCCCCAGGAAGCUGUGGAUGGGUAAGCCAGUGGAUGCCCACCUUCUUGCACACCCCACUGGUCCUGUGUCCCUUCCCAGCUUUUUUAUCUCUCCUUCCCUGAACCCUCUUUCUCCUCUCCUCCCAACUCUCGUACCCUCCCCACUUCAAGAGAGGUGCUAGGGGAAUGUUGCCCUCUCCUAGAUAACAAAAGCCCAGUUUCAUUUCUCAGCAUGUCUCCCAUGUUUUCUUACAUGGAAGAGGCCAAUACAAUACCUUUACUCCAAAUGUGCCAGUAUCUUAAUUUAUUCGGGCUGAUGUUAUGAAAGUAUAAUUUGGGUAUCUUAUAUACAACAAAAGCUUAUUGUUCACAGUUCUGGAGGCUGGGAAGUCUAAGAUCAAGGUGCCAGAUAACUUGGUAUCUGAUGAUGACGGCCCUUGAAUGGCACCUUUUCACUGUGUCCUCAAGUGACAGAAGAAACAAACAAACUCUCACAGGCUUAAUUUAUAAUGGUGUUGUAGUAACCUAUCUCCUGUUGCUAUAA
rnacentral:lncRNA from 1 species